AGGUUACUGCUAUCGGUGUUCGCCUAAGCCAUGCGAGUCAUAUGUUCGUAAGAACAUGGCGUACUGCUCAGUAACACGUGGAUAACCUGCCCUUGGGUCCGGCAUAACCCCGGGAAACUGGGGAUAAUUCCGGAUAACGCACAUAUGCUGGAAUGCUUUAUGCGUAAAAUGGAUUCGUCUGCCCAAGGAUGGGUCUGCGGCCUAUCAGGUAGUAGUGGGUGUAAUGUACCUACUAGCCUACGACGGGUACGGGUUGUGAGAGCAAGAGCCCGGAGAUGGAUUCUGAGACAUGAAUCCAGGCCCUACGGGGCGCAGCAGGCGCGAAAACUUUACAACGCGGGAAACCGUGAUAAGGGGACACCGAGUGCCAGCAUCCUAUGCUGGCUGUCCGGGUGUGUAAAAUACACCUGUUAGCAAGGGCCGGGCAAGACCGGUGCCAGCCGCCGCGGUAACACCGGCGGCCCGAGUGGUGAUCGUGAUUAUUGGGUCUAAAGGGUCCGUAGCCGGUUUGGUCAGUCCUCCGGGAAAUCUGACAGCUUAACUGUUAGGCUUUCGGAGGAUACUGCCAGACUUGGAACCGGGAGAGGUAAGAGGUACUACAGGGGUAGGAGUGAAAUCUUGUAAUCCCUGUGGGACCACCUGUGGCGAAGGCGUCUUACCAGAACGGGUUCGACGGUGAGGGACGAAAGCUGGGGGCACGAACCGGAUUAGAUACCCGGGUAGUCCCAGCCGUAAACGAUGCUCGCUAGGUGUCAGGCAUGGCGCGACCGUGUCUGGUGCCGCAGGGAAGCCGUGAAGCGAGCCACCUGGGAAGUACGGCCGCAAGGCUGAAACUUAA
rnacentral:rRNA from 1 species